UUUCCCGGCCGUCACCUUUAAGCACUACUUUGAGAAGUUGCAGAGCUCUCAAUUGAGUAUCCCUUGAGAUGCUAAAUUCUGCCAGUGAUAUAUACUUCUGCAUAUUAAGGUGACGACGAGUUGAGGGAAAGAGCAAAAACAGCUGCUGAGAGAAGUUGAGUGGAACCAACUCCAAAAACAAGGUAUUUCCCUUUUGUAAUUGCAUUUCUGGCAAUGGAGUGGACUUUGAGAAUGUGUUUUUGAAGCUCCUGUGACAUUGAAGAUUGAUCUCCAAAUACAUAGCUCAUUCUGUGCCACCCUGCAACUAGAAGUGCACUGCUCUCUGCAUUUUGCAUCCAAAAGGGCUCCAAAAAUAAGGGAUCCCCACUACAUUAGAUAUAUUUAAUUGUUAGUGACCCGUUAAUUAUAAGAAUUGGAUGAAGAAUAUACAUUUGAGUUCAGUAGAUUAGACUGUAAUACUUAAACAUAGUUUUUCAAGAAUUUUCUUUUUAAAUUUA